GAUGAACGCUGGCGGCGUGCCUAAUACAUGCAAGUCGAGCGAACAGACGAGGAGCUUGCUCCUCUGACGUUAGCGGCGGACGGGUGAGUAACACGUGGAUAACCUACCUAUAAGACUGGGAUAACUUCGGGAAACCGGAGCUAAUACCGGAUAAUAUAUUGAACCGCAUGGUUCAAUAGUGAAAGACGGUUUUGCUGUCACUUAUAGAUGGAUCCGCGCCGCAUUAGCUAGUUGGUAAGGUAACGGCUUACCAAGGCAACGAUGCGUAGCCGACCUGAGAGGGUGAUCGGCCACACUGGACCUGAGACACGGUCCAGACUCCUACGGGAGGCAGCAGUAGGGAAUCUUCCGCAAUGGGCGAAAGCCUGACGGAGCAACGCCGCGUGAGUGAUGAAGGUCUUCGGAUCGUAAAACUCUGUUAUUGGGGAAGAACAAAUGUGUAAGUAACUAUGCACGUCUUGACGGUACCUAAUCAGAAAGCCACGGCUAACUACGU
rnacentral:rRNA from 1 species